AUUGAACGCUGGCGGCAUGCCUUACACAUGCAAGUCGAACGGCAGCACGGGAGCAAUCCUGGUGGCGAGUGGCGAACGGGUGAGUAAUAUAUCGGAACGUGCCCAGUCGUGGGGAUAACGUAGCGAAAGCUACGCUAAUACCGCAUACGAUCUAUGGAUGAAAGCGGGGGAUCGCAAGACCUCGCGCGAUUGGAGCGGCCGAUAUCAGAUUAGGUAGUUGGUGAGGUAAAGGCUCACCAAGCCGACGAUCUGUAGCUGGUCUGAGAGGACGACCAGCCACACUGGGACUGAGACACGGCCCAGACUCCUACGGGAGGCAGCAGUGGGGGAAUUUUUGGACAAUGGGCGCAAGCCUGAUCCAGCAAUGCCGCGUGCAGGAUGAAGGCCUU
rnacentral:rRNA from 1 species